rnacentral:rRNA from 1 species
GAUGAACGCUGGCGGCGUGCUUAACACAUGCAAGUCGAACGGUGAAAGAGAGCUUGCUCUCUGGAUCAGUGGCGAACGGGUGAGUAACACGUGAGCAAUCUGCCCCUGACUCUGGGAUAAGCGCUGGAAACGGCGUCUAAUACCGGAUACGAGCUGCGAAGGCAUCUUCAGCAGCUGGAAAGAACUUCGGUCAGGGAUGAGCUCGCGGCCUAUCAGCUAGUUGGUGAGGUAACGGCUCACCAAGGCGUCGACGGGUAGCCGGCCUGAGAGGGUGACCGGCCACACUGGGACUGAGACACGGCCCAGACUACUACGGGAGGCAGCAGUGGGGAAUAUUGCACAAUGGGCGAAAGCCUGAUGCAGCAACGCCGCGUGAGGGACGACGGCCUUCGGGUUGUAAACCUCUUUUAGCAGGGAAGAAGCGAAAGUGACGGUACCUGCAGAAAAAGCACCGGCUAACUACGUG